UGUGCCAGCAGCCGCGGUAAUACGUAGGGUGCAAGCGUUAAUCGGAAUUACUGGGCGUAAAGCGUGCGCAGGCGGUUUGUUAAGACGGAUGUGAAAUCCCCGGGCUCAACCUGGGAACUGCAUUCGUGACUGGCAAGCUAGAGUAUGGCAGAGGGGGGUAGAAUUCCACGUGUAGCAGUGAAAUGCGUAGAGACGUGGAGGAAUACCGAUGGCGAAGGCAGCCCCCUGGGCCAAUACUGACGCUCAUGCACGAAAGCGUGGGGAGCAAACAGGAUUAGAUACCCUGGUAGUCCACGCCCUAAACGAUGUCAACUAGUUGUUGGGGAUUCAUUUCCUUAGUAACGAAGCUAACGCGUGAAGUUGACCGCCUGGGGAGUACGGUCGCAAGAUUAAAACUCAAAUGAAUUGACGGG
rnacentral:rRNA from 1 species